rnacentral:rRNA from 1 species
AGCGUUGUUCGGAAUUACUGGGCGUAAAGGGCGAGUAGGUGGCCAUCUAAGUCAGACGUGAAAUCCCCCGGCUUAACCUGGGAACUGCGUCUGAUACUGGACGGCUUGAGUAUGGGAGAGGAACGUAGAAUUCCAGGUGUAGCGGUGAAAUGCGUAGAUAUCUGGAGGAAUACCGGUGGCGAAGGCGGCGUUCGGGACCAUUACUGACACUGAAUCGCGAAAGCUAGGGGAGCAAACGGG